rnacentral:rRNA from 1 species
UACGUAGGGGGCAAGCGUUGUCCGGAAUCAUUGGGCGUAAAGCGCGUGUAGGCGGCUGAGUAAGUCUGCUCUGAAAGCCCGGGGCUCAACCCCGGGAGGCGGGUGGAUACUGCUCAGCUCGAGUCCGGAAGAGGAGUGUGGAAUUCCUGGUGUAGCGGUGAAAUGCGCAGAUAUCAGGAGGAACACCAACGGCGAAGGCAGCACUCUGGGACGGUACUGACGCUGAGACGCGAAAGCGUGGGGAGCAAACAGG